GAAUUUUAUAUAAAAAUAUUUUUAAUUAGUUUAAAAUAAAUAUUAAAUAUUUAAUUGGGAGGAUUAUUAAAUUUAUUAAACUUUAAUAUAUAAAAACAUAAAUUAAUGAAUUUUAAUAAAUAGAGUGAUUUAAAUAUAUAAAGAGAAUAAAUUACCUUAGGGAUAACAGCGUAAUAUUUUUAAAAAGAUCAUAUUUAUAAAAUUACUUGC
rnacentral:rRNA from 1 species